rnacentral:rRNA from 1 species
GCAAGUCGAGCGAGAAAGGCCCUCGGGCUGAGUACAGCGGCGGACGGGUGAGUAACGCGUAGGAAUCUACCUGGUAGUGGGGGACAACAUGGUGAAAACCAUGCUAAUACCGCAUACGCCCUACGGGGGAAAGCGGGGGACCUUCGGGCCUCGCGCUAUCGGAUGAGCCUGCGUUGGAUUAGCUUGUUGGUGAGGUAAAAGCUUACCAAGGCGACGAUCAGUAUCUGGUUUGAGAGGACGAUC